AUGUAUGAUAAGGGGGCGAUGGGAGACGAUGGCGGCACAUUAUUAUCUGCUGCUGUAGAUGUAGAUGAUCAUGGGCAGGGGCAGGGCCUUCCAGUUCCAGAUGAAGACGACGACUACGACGGCAUCUCCUCCUCGUCCUCGCCCACCGGGAAUAAACAUAAUAAGCAGACGAGCUGCCUUCUGCCAGCACGCAGCCUGAGAUCAACAGAUGAAGCAAGUCAUCAUAGCCAGCAAGCAGACGACGGCGUCCGGUCGCUGUCCUUCUCCAAGAUCUUCAGCUUCAGAAUGUGGGCGCCCGCCGGCUCAUCCCUGUCCAUUGAUCAACAUCAACUCGAGCAUGAUGAUGAUUAUGCUGCUGCCUCCAGAUCAGGCUGCAAGCGCCACCACUGGAGGAGAAACCAAGGAAGAAGAAGAACAACAAGAGGACAUCGCGGCCGAGGAGGCGGUGUGCCGCAUCUGCAUGGUAGCCUGUCGGAGGAGGCGGUGCUGAAGCUGGAGUGCUGCUGCAAGGGGGAGCUGGCCCUAGCGCACAGGGCCUGCGCCAUCAAGUGGUUUAGCAUCAACGGCAACGGCACCUGCAACGUGUGCAGCCAGGAGGUGCUCAACCUUCCAGUCACCCUGCGACGCCUGCCGGACCCGCUGCUGAUGACCCUGCCAUCGUUCAGUCGGCGGUGGCUCUGGAGUCUGGAGGCUGGUGGUGCUGGUGAUCCUACUACCGCUGCAACCACCACCACCAGCAGCAGAUAUAGCAGCUACAGAUUGGAACCACACUUUAUAAAGUGUUUAAAUAAUAUAAAAUGCAUAUAA
rnacentral:rRNA from 1 species